rnacentral:rRNA from 1 species
UACGAAGGGGGCUAGCGUUGCUCGGAAUCACUGGGCGUAAAGCGCACGUAGGCGGAUUGCUAAGUCAGGGGUGAAAUCCCAGAGCUCAACUCUGGAACUGCCUUUGAUACUGGGUAUCUUGAGUAUGGAAGAGGUAAGUGGAAUUGCGAGUGUAGAGGUGAAAUUCGUAGAUAUUCGCAGGAACACCAGUGGCGAAGGCGGCUUACUGGUCCAUAACUGACGCUGAGGUGCGAAAGCG